AACGAACGCUGGCGGCGUGGAUAAGACAUGCAAGUCGAACGGGACAGACCGAUUAGCAAUAUUUGGAAUGUUCAGUGGCGAACGGGUGCGUAACACGUGGAUAACAUUCCGGAAAGCGGGGAAUAGCCCAGGGAAACUUGGAUUAAUACCGCAUGUGGCCGCAAGGCUAAAGACGGGGACCGCAAGGCCUGUCACUGUCCGAUUGGUCCGCGGCCUAUCAGCUAGUUGGCGGGGUAAUGGCCCACCAAGGCUACGACGGGUAGGUGGUCUGAACGGAGCACCAGCCCAACCGGAUCUGCCACGAGAUCCAGGCACCUACGGGGGGCAGCCGUCGAGAAUCGAUCAGAAUGGGGGCAAACCUGAUGGAGCGACGCCGCGUGGAGGAUAAGGUCUUCGAAUUGUAAACUGCUGUCAUGCGAGAUCAAGGUACUCAGGCUAAUAACCUGAUUGUUUGCUGGUACCGCAAGAGGAAUAGACGGCUAACUCUGUGCCAGCCGCCGCGGUAAGAC
rnacentral:rRNA from 1 species